rnacentral:rRNA from 1 species
UACGAAGGGGGAGCUAGCGUUGUUCGGAAUUACUGGGCGUAAAGCGCGCGUAGGCGGACCUGUAAGUCAGGGGUGAAUCCCGGGGCUCAACCUCGGAACUGCCUUUGAUACUGCAAAUCUCGAGUCCGAUAGAGGUGGGUGGAAUUCCUAGUGUAGAGGUGAAAUUCGUAGAUAUUAGGAAGAACACCGGUGGCGAAGGCGGCCCACUGGAUCGGUACUGACGGCUGAGGUGCGAAAGCGUGGGGAGCAAACAGG